CAUACCUAUUCGAAGGGAUAGGGUCGGCUCGGCCGGAUUUUACACAAGUGUUGCAUGGCUGUCGUCAGCUCGUGUCGUGAGAUGUUGGGUUAAGUCCCGCAACGAACGCAACCCUCAUCCUUAGUUGCCAUCAGGUAAUGCUGAGUACUUUAAGGAAACUGCCAGUGAUAAGCUGGAGGAAGGUGGGGAUGAUGUCAAGUCAUCAUGGCCUUUAUGGAGUGGGCUACACACGUGCUACAAUGGUGUCUACAAUGGGUUGCAAGGUGCGCAAGCCUAAGCUAAUCCCUAAAAGACAUCUCAGUUCGGAUUGUACUCUGCAACUCGAGUACAUGAAGUUGGAAUCGCUAGUAAUCGUGGAUCAGCAUGCCACGGUGAAUACGUUCUCGGGUCUUGUACACAUUGCCCGUCACGCCAUGGGAAUUGGUUUCACUCGAAGCU
rnacentral:rRNA from 1 species